GGGCCCGUAGCUCAGUGGUAGAGCAUCUGCCUUUUAAGCAGAGUGUCGAGCGUUCGAUCCGCUCCGGGCUCACCC
rnacentral:tRNA from 1 species